rnacentral:rRNA from 1 species
AUACGGAAGGUCCGGGCGUUAUCCGGAUUUAUUGGGUUUAAAGGGAGCGCAGGCUGAUUGUUAAGCGUGACGUGAAAUGUAGCCGCUCAACGGCUGAACUGCGUCGCGAACUGGCAGUCUUGAGUGAGUACGACGUCCGCGGAAUUCGUGGUGUAGCGGUGAAAUGCUUAGAUAUCACGAAGAACCCCGAUUGCGAAGGCAGCUGACGAGUCCUUUACUGACGCUAAAGCUCGAAGGUGCGGGUAUCGAACAGGAUUAGAUACCCUGGUAGUCCGCACGGUAAACGAUGGAUGCCCGCUGUUGGCGAUACAAUGUCAGCGGCCAAGCGAAAGCGUUAAGCAUCCCACCUGGGGAGUACGCCGGCAACGGUGAAACUCAAAUGAAUUGACGG